UGGGGAAUAUUGCACAAUGGGCGCAAGCCUGAUGCAGCCAUGCCGCGUGUAUGAAGAAGGCCUUCGGGUUGUAAAGCACUUUCAGCGGGGAGGAAGGGAGUAAAGUUAAUACCUUUGCUCAUUGACGUUACCCGCAGAAGAAGCACCGGCUAACUCCGUGCCAGCAGCCGCGGUAAUACGGAGGGUGCAAGCGUUAAUCGGAAUUACUGGGCGUAAAGCGCACGCAGGCGGUCUGUCAAGUCGGAUGUGAAAUCCCCGGGCUCAACCUGGGAACUGCAUUCGAAACUGGCAGGCUAGAGUCUUGUAGAGGGGGGUAGAAUUCCAGGUGUAGCGGUGAAAUGCGUAGAGAUCUGGAGGAAUACCGGUGGCGAAGGCGGCCCCCUGGACAAAGACUGACGCUCAGGUGCGAAAGCGUGGGGAGCAAACAGG
rnacentral:rRNA from 1 species